rnacentral:rRNA from 1 species
AAGGCAUCGAUCAGUAGCUGGUCUGAGAGGACGACCAGCCACACUGGAACUGAGACACGGUCCAGACUCCUACGGGAGGCAGCAGUGGGGAAUUUUGGACAAUGGGCGAAAGCCUGAUCCAGCAAUGCCGCGUGAGUGAAGAAGGCCUUCGGGUUGUAAAGCUCUUUUGUCAGGGAAGAAACGGUGGGGGCUAAUAUCCCUUGCUAAUGACGGUACCUGAAGAAUAAGCACCGGCUAACUACGUGCCAGCAGCCGCGGUAAUACGUAGGGUGCAAGCGUUAAUCGGAAUUACUGGGCGUAAAGCGUGCGCAGGCGGUUUUGUAAGUCUGUCGUGAAAUCCCCGGGCUCAACCUGGGAAUUGCGAUGGAGACUGCAAGGCUAGAAUCUGGCAGAGGGGGGUAGAAUUCCACGUGUAGCAGUGAAAUGCGUAGAGAUGUGGAGGAACACCGAUGGCGAAGGCAGCCCCCUGGGUCAAGAUUGACGCUCAUGCACGAAAGCGUGGGGAGCAAACAGGAUUAGAUACCCUGGUAGUCCACGCCCUAAACGAUGUCUACUAGUUGUCGGGUUUUAAUUAACUUGGUAACGCAGCUAACGCGUGAAGUAGACCGCCUGGGGAGUACGGUCGCAAGAUUAAAACUCAAAGGAAUUGACGGGGACCCGCACAAGCGGUGGAUGAUGUGGAUUAAUUCGAUGCAACGCGAAAAACCUUACCUACCCUUGACAUGUACGGAAGCCACGAGAGAUCGAGGUGUGCUCGAAAGAGAGCCGUAACACAGGUGCUGCAUGGCUGUCGUCAGCUCGUGUCGUGAGAUGUUGGGUUAAGUCCCGCAACGAGCGCAACCCUUGUCAUUAGUUGCUACGAAAGAGCACUCUAAUGAGACUGCCGGUGACAAACCGGAGGAAGGUGGGGAUGACGUCAAGUCCUCAUGGCCCUUAUGGGUAGGGCUUCACACGUCAUACAAUGGUACAUACAGAGGGCCGCCAACCCGCGAGGGGGAGCUAAUCCCAGAAAGUGUAUCGUAGUCCGGAUUGUAGUCUGCAACUCGACUACAUGAAGUUGGAAUCGCUAGUAAUCGCGGAUCAGCAUGUCGCGGUGAAUACGUUCCCGGGUCUUGUACACACCGCCCGUCACACCAUGGGAGCGGGUUUUACCAGAAGUAGGUAGCUUAACCGUAAGGGGGGCGCUUACCACGGUAGGAUUCGUGACUGGGGUGAAGUCGGAACAAGGUA